GACGAACGCUGGCGGCGUGCCUAAUACAUGCAAGUCGAACGGUCUUUUCUAUGGAAGCUUGCUUCCACUGAGAAGAUAGUGGCGAACGGGUGAGUAACACGUGGGUAACCUGCCCAUAAGAGGGGGAUAACAUCCGGAAACGGGUGCUAAUACCGCAUAGUUUUCUUGAUCGCAUGAUCGGGAAAGGAAAGACGGCCUUUGUGCUGUCGCUUAUGGAUGGACCCGCGGCGUAUUAGUUAGUUGGUGAGGUAAUGGCUCACCAAGACGAUGAUACGUAGCCGACCUGAGAGGGUGAUCGGCCACAUUGGGACUGAGACACGGCCCAAACUCCUACGGGAGGCAGCAGUAGGGAAUCUUCCGCAAUGGACGAAAGUCAGACGGAGCAACGCCGCGUGAGUGAAGAAGGUUUUCGGAUCGUAAAACUCUGUUGUCAGAGAAGAACAAGUUGGAGAGUAACUGCUCCAGCCUUGACGGUAUCUGACCAGAAAGCCACGGCUAACUACGUGCCAGCCGCCGCGGUAACAC
rnacentral:rRNA from 1 species